GUGGAUUAGUGGCGAACGGGUGAGUAACACGUGGGCAAUCUGCCCUUCACUCUGGGACAAGCCCUGGAAACGGGGUCUAAUACCGGAUAAUACUUUCUCUCUCAUGGGGGAAGGUUGAAAGCUCCGGCGGUGAAGGAUGAGCCCGCGGCCUAUCAGCUAGUUGGUGGGGUAAUGGCCCACCAAGGCGACGACGGGUAGC
rnacentral:rRNA from 1 species